UACGUAGGUGGCAAGCGUUGUCCGGAUUUACUGGGCGUAAAGAGCGCGCAGGCGGCCGAGUAAGUCGAAUGUGAAAGCCCCCGGCUCAACUGGGGAAGGUCAUUCGAUACUGUUCGGCUCGAAGAUAGGAGAGGGAAGCGGAAUUUCAGGUGUAGUGGUGAAAUGCGUAGAUAUCUGGAGGAAUACCGGUGGCGAAGGCGGCAUCCUGGACCGACAUUGACGCUGAGGAGCGAAAGCUAGGGGAGCAAACGGG
rnacentral:rRNA from 1 species